rnacentral:misc_RNA from 1 species
UUAAGUUCAGCGGGUAUCCUCACCUGAUCCGAGGUCAAGUCAUAAAAAGUAGCUUGCUGGAUGCCGAUCCGCCGGGCCUCCGAGAAGCGCAAAUGUGCUGCGCGAGGAGCCGGCACGACCGCCGCCAAUGACUUUGAGGCGAGUCCGCGCUACGGAGAGCGGGACAGACGCCCAACACCAAGCUGCGCUUGAGGGUGUAA